UUCAUGAGAGUUGUAGCCCUUCAAGUCUAGAAAAUUCUCCAAGUGGUUUCGUGUCGAUCCGAUAUCUGUAGCUCCAGAUAUCCCCGUUUUAGUGAACGUAGUUCCGGCUGUACAGUGCCAGCGGGAUUAUUACAUUGUUUUUCUUCUAAGUCCGAAUUUAAUUAUGAAUUUACCUUUGAGGGCUUAGGUUUUAGUAAGUUUCAGGUCUGAUUAGGUAAUUAGACUGGUGGGUUAAGGUUGGACUUGGGUCGGGCUUGUGGAAAACAAAACCCUAGCCCACUUGUGGGUUGCAUGGGAUUUUAGCCAAGGGGGGAAACCCUAUUCUUCCACAAUCAGAAAACAGAGAUACACUACAGCACCUUCACGUGAAAAACAAAGAGAGAACGUGUGAGAGAAGAGAAGGGAGCCGCCGCCCAAGCCACCACCAUUGUCGCCGGUCACGCGCGCGAGCAAGGGAGAGAGCGCGAAUAGAGAGGGUUUCGCGAAGGAGAAGGAAGGUGAAGGAGACUUGGACAGCAAGAGAUUGUUCUUCCAAACUUCAUUCUCUUCUUCUUUUCAGACCAAGAACCCAAGGAAAGGGCUGGUCCUAGGAUUGGGUAGAUUGCCUAGGAUGGUCGUGAAGAUAAUGGCGAUGACUCAUUCUUGGGAGUUGAUGCUACGUGACGUGCCAAUACCGGAGGACGACUACACUUCAGAGGAAGAGGAAGAGGCUAAGGAAUAGGGUUUUGGUUGAGAGUCUUUUGUUUUCUGUUGGGGUUGAGAGUUUCCGAAGUGUUGGUAUCGAACAAUUUUAUUGCUUAAAUUCGAAUGAACAAGUUUUGAUGUAAUCUUUAUUUUCAUUCAGGCCUUUGA